rnacentral:pre_miRNA from 1 species
UUUUUACUCCCUCCGUCCGAAAAUACUUGUCAUCAAAAUGGAUAAAAAGAGAUGUAUCUAAAACUAAAAUACGUCUAGAUACAUUUCCUUUUAUCCAUUUUGAUGACAAGUAUUUCUGGACGGAGGGAGUAUUUG